rnacentral:rRNA from 1 species
CCUACGGGAGGCAGCAGUAGGGAAUCUUCGGCAAUGGGGGCAACCCUGACCGAGCAACGCCGCGUGAGUGAAGAAGGUUUUCGGAUCGUAAAGCUCUGUUGUAAGUCAAGAACGGGGUGUGAGAGUGGAAAGUUCACACUGUGACGGUAGCUUACCAGAAAGGGACGGCUAACUACGUGC